UGUGAGUGAUGACAAGUUUCUUCCUGAUAUGACUGAGGGUAAAAUGAUUUAAUGAGCCUGACAC